AAUGAACGUUGGUGGCGUGGAUUAGGCAUGCAAGUCGAGCGAGAACCUCGCUGCGGAGGCUUCGGCCGAAGUAGUGAGGGGAAAGCGGCUAACGGGGUAGUAAUACGUAGGUGACGUACCUCAGGGACUGGGAUAGCCACGGGAAACUGUGGGUAAUACCAGAUGAUCUUUUCGGGCAUGGUCGUCUGAAAAGCAAAAGGUGUGAUUCCGCCCUGAGAGCGGCUUACGCGGUACUAGGUAGUUGGUGAGGUAACGGCCCACCAAGCCUGAGAUGCCUAGGGGGUGUGAGAGCAUGACCCCCACCACUGGGACUGAGACACUGCCCAGACACCUACGGGUGGCUGCAGUCGAGAAUCUUCGGCAAUGGACGAAAGUCUGACCGAGCGACGCCACGUGCGGGAUGAAGGCCCUUGGGUUGUAAACCGCUGUCAGAGGGGAUGAAAUUCACGGGGGCAAUCCCCCGUGAUUGACAGAGCCUCAGAGGAAGCACGGGCUAAGUACGUGCC
rnacentral:rRNA from 1 species